UGGAGGCUGCUGUCGCUGCUGCAGCUCGGCUUGCCCGGGGCGGGAACUCCCCCUUCUGCUUUCGCCUCCCCAGAGCCCACAACCUGCCUUCGCCCUAAUUCUUCCCUGGAUAAUAGUGCCUUAAAGACAAUAGUCAAAAUAACAGGUUCAGAACGACAGGGUUUGUUUGUUUUGGUCUACAGGAAAAAAAAAAAAAAAAACAGCAGCCUAAACAUCUCUGAAAACUGCAUCGCAAAAUGGAAGAGAGAGAGAGUCCCACUACUGUUUCGAAAGAGUAAGUUAUUAUUCGAAAUCAUGGAAGCCAAAUACAGAGGAUGGUAGCCCCAUGAAAUGAAUGGAGCUGGGGCUUUGAAACACUGCUUGGAGGAGACACCAGGAAAGCCUCAUGAAUCUAAUUGGACCAUUAUGUGAGAAAUAAGCUUUUAUGGUAUUAAGCCACUAUAAUUUGGGAACUGUUUGUUAUAACAUCAAUUAUCCAAUUGGCUUCAACUUGGAUAUCAAAUAUAAUCACAGAAUUUUAGAACUUA